rnacentral:rRNA from 1 species
CCUANGGGGGGCUGCAGUCAAGAAUAUUUCGCAAUGCCCGCAAGGGUGACGGAGCGACGCCGCGUGAUUGAUGAAGCCCUUCGGGGUGUAAAGAUCUUUUAUUGGGGACGAACUAAUGACGGUACCCAAAGAAUAAGAGGUUGCUAACUCUGUGCCAGCAGCAGCGGUAAUACAGAGACCUCAAGCGUUAUCCGGAUUUAUUGGGCGUAAAGAGUGCGCAGGCGGCUUAAUAAGUCAGUGGUUAAAUCCCAAAGCUCAACUUUGGGCCUGCCACUGAAACUGUUAGGCUAGAGAUUGGGAGAGGCAAGCGGAAUUGCUGGUGUAGGGGUAAAAUCCGUUGAUAUCAGCAAGAACACCAAAUGCAUAGGCAGCUUGCUAGAACAUUUCUGACGCUGUCGCACGAAAGCGUGGGGAGCGAAGAGGAUUAGAUACCCUANUANUC